UUUGAGGGUGGGUGGGAAUCUUAGCUACAAAGAAUUGUUUUCCUUUUGUAAAUUGCAAGAUAAAACAAAUAUUCAUUUGUUGUAAGUCCCCUGGUCCUCUGGAAACAGUGAAGACAGAAAAGACCAGAAGCAGGGAAAGGCAAUAUCUAAAAAACAAAUCAGAAAAUGAGAAAAUAUCCAUCAGAAUGGAAAUGUCUUACUUUAGGAGGAAAAAGAAAUAACAUUUAAAAUUGGAAAAUCACCUUGACAAAUUUCAACCCUCCGUAGCUGCUGCCUGAGGAAGGAGUUUGCAGGAAAUCCUUUGCUCACUGUUAGGUACAUGCACAGAGAUGUAAAAUCAGUUAAAUACUGUUACCCUUAUCUGUUUGCUACCCAGAAGUGUUAGCUAAAAAAGGGCUUAAUCUGCUUAGGCUCAGGGUUGACCUUCCAUAAAAUAAAGGUUUUUGGAUGCAGAGAUUUUGUUUCCAGAUUUCUCCUCGUUUAAUUUUACCAAAUGACUUUACCAAAUGGGAAGUGUGUACGAUGAUUUGGCCAAAUGAGAAAUCCAGGUAGCGACAGCUGUGCUGGUGUCCCCCAUUAUAUAGCUGUAGGCGCACACAAAGCGGGGGAAGGAAGGUUAUCGGCCUUAUCAAGACAUCACCGGCGAGGACAGCGAUCACAGCAAAGCCUGAGUGACAUUUUCUGCAGCUCCUGUACUUAAAUGAGCCCAGGUACAGGUAGAGUAAAAGCACAUAAGCGAAAGUAGCUCCAGCACAGAUCUCGGCAGAGGGGAGCAGACAGGGUGGCUGACUGCCCAGGCAGGUGGCUUUCUUGCUAAUUGUAUGCCAAACUGUAUAAAUUGAAGGCAUCCCAAGUCACUAAGAGCAGGAUGAAAUGUAAACCUUCCUGUGACAUUUAUUUGGAGGAGGGUAUUGUUUUCCAGGGCUGCCUGGUUCAUCUACUUCGUUUGGAGUGAACUGUGCUUCACCGUGUCGCCCUCGCAGUUAACAAUUUGUGACAAUUACUGUAAUUAUUCUGCUACAGCAGUAAUGCCACUGCCCAAAUAUGUUCAAGGAAUGGUUUUACUUGAAUGAACAAGAAUACCACGGACCUGCAAAAACAUUUGUGGAUAUUGAAUCAUUUAAUUUUCUGAUUCUGUUAAUUCACUGUAUUGAAAUACCGAUAACCCUGCUCAUUAGAGGAGCAGUAGAAAAUUAGGAGACGAGUGAUACCGUGCAAAUGGAACAAAAGCUUGGCAGUCUCUCCGAAGGAAUUCACUUGCAGAAGAUGUGAACGUCUUCUCUGUGGUCAGAAAAGAACCAGCCUGGAGCAGAGCCGGGGCGGACACUGCCUGCUGCGUGCCCACCUCCGUGGCCAACUCCUGCGUUUCUUACCUCUGCAAAAGACCGACACUCUUCCAGCCUUACCACGGCACUUUUCCAUCUCUGAGGCCAGUCUGUGUAGCUCCUCUGCUGAUGGAUAUUUGUUCUUGAGGUCGUGAUCUUUUGGCCAGGAUUUUACAUGGAGCUCUUUUCUUCUAUUCCACCUCUGUAUUUUAACAAGAAGUAGUGGCAUGAAAAGGAGAGAACAAUACUGAAUACUCCACUUAAUAAAUGGAAAUGCAGCAAGGGCACUAAAGGACGUGACUACUUCGUAGCUUCCAAAUUAUGCUGCAUGUGAAGCAGGGAUAUUAUUCUGGAUGGGUCCACUUGAGUUCUUGCCAAGGUCAGGACUGUGGCAUUCUGAUGAGGAAGUGGUUGCUUGAGUUGCUUCAUCGACUAUUUACUUCAGGUUUAAUGACAUUUCACUGUUAUUUUUCCUUUGUAUGUUCUUGAGUCAUUUGCUAUUUGUCACUCCAUUUGCAGCUGUGGAGGUCAUCCAUGUAACUCUAUGAAAAGCAACAUAUAUCUAGACUUCUGUCAAGGCUGCACCAUGUUUUGCUUCUUAAUCUUAGUUAGUUACUUUGCACUUUUAAAAUAAUUAUGUCUCACCUUCAGUGGUGAGUGCCCUCUGAUUCUUACAAGCAGGGUCCCUUCUGGUCAUGAGCUACAAACAAAAACAAUUUUGUCAAUAGGUUCUGUGAGGAGUCUGUCCUUCACAAUAUCCUAAUCUUUUUGUAUGUCUCCAUUCCUCUCCUCUGCAAAAUAUUAAGCAAUUAUACAGUGGGUCCCACCUCCAGUCUUACACAAGGCUCUCGGUUCUAUCUGGCAUAGACUGCUUUCACAAUAAUAAUUUUUGUAAAGUUAA